GCGUUCGUGGUGUAACGGUAGCAUACUCGGCGCGUAAUCGAGAGGUCUAGGUUCGAGUCCCGGCGAAGGUA
rnacentral:tRNA from 1 species